AAGUAUUCAUGAAUAUAGUAGCACAAAUAAUUAAAUAGUAGUUAUAGGAUAUAUGGUAUUUAUAAGAAGUUAAUAGCUGCUAAAUAAUAGUAGUUUCUGAAAAUUCUUCAUAAAUCUAUUGUCCUGUCUUCUCAAAAUAGUCGGUGUAUAUCACAAAAACAGCUCCUCACAAAGCAAACAACAGCCUUCGUCCAAACUACUUGCGACGACGCUCAAUAACUGGGUAUGCUAACCUUCAUGCAAUGGUACACUUGAUUUUGCCGAAGCCUUGUAAUUUCCACCUUUUCCGGUGGGAGUUCUUCACCAAGAAAAACUUCUCUCCCUUAUCAUCUAUACCAAAUCCUACAACCAGGAGGGCAUGUUCAGAUCUAGCCUACCCCUCCACUAUUUCUCUCUCAGUGGCACAGAACUUGUAAUUGGCUAAAUGUACAAAUAAAAUUAUUACCAUUCACCUCUCAUGUGUCUUUGAAAGCUAGGAUAAUGAAUUAUAGCACAGGUGAUAUGCUCUUUCCUGAUAAUUUCUUCAAUGGCCUUUUCAUCAAAAUUUGACACCUCCACAUAGUCAAAUAUCUUGACAUAUUUAUCCUCGUUCUGCAUCAAAAUCCAUUGCAUAACUGUAAGCCAUUACAAACGAGCCAAGAAAUCUCUCAUUGUAAAGAAUAGCAGAAGAAAAAUAUUAUUAGAGGCCUUCUGCUAGCCAAUAUCGUUAACUAAGAUUGGAGGAUUCAACUAAAGAAGAGGAAAAUUGAAAAGAGAAAGAGAUUUUUGAUGGAAGAACUUGUGUAGGAAAGAAAAGCUUUCUUGAUUUUUUGGCUUAGUUACAAACGCCUAAGGCCACCCCUACUUAUACUUCUCCAAGGACGGUUCUAGAUAAUAUUCUAGAAUAUGUAUAAGAAAAGUCUAGGUAACCUUAUCUUCCCACAAUACUCUAGAAUAUCUGAACGUGUCUAUUGGAUAACUUAGCUUUACACACUAUUCUACACCAUCCAAUUGUGUCUAUUAGAUAAGUAUCAAAAAUACUACACUACAAUAUUCUAGAGAAAUUUGGUAUGUUUUUUCAAAAAUCAACUUUACUUUAU
rnacentral:lncRNA from 1 species